GCGGCUACUGCUAUCAGGUUUCGACUAAGCCAUGCGAGUCAAGGGGUCGUAAGACACCGGCGUACUGCUCAGUAACACGCGGACAAUCUACCCCCAGGUGGAGGAUAACCUCGGGAAACUGAGGCUAAUACCCCAUAGUUGUCAUGUGCUGGAAUGCUUUGACGAUGAAAGAAUUUCGCCUGAGGAUGAGUCUGCGGCCUAUCAGGUAGUAUGUGGUGUAAAGGACCACAUAGCCUAAGACGGGUACGGGCCUUGAAAGAGGGAGCCCGGAGAUGGACUCUGAGACACUAGUCCAGGCCCUACGGGGCGCAGCAGGCGCGAAAACUGUGCAAUGCGCGCAAGCGCGACACGGGAAGCCUGAGUGCCUUAACUAUGUUAAGGCUUUUCUUGAUCCUAAAAAGCUCAAGGAAUAAGAGCUGGGUAAGACGGGUGCCAGCCGCCGCGGUAACGCCCGCGGCUCGAGUGGUAGUCACUUUUAUUGAGCCUAAAGCGUUUGUAGCCGGAUUUGUAAAUCUCUAGGAAAAUACUUCUGCUUAACUGAAGAAAUUUUGGAGAGACUGCAAAUCUAGGGACCGGGUGAGGUUGAAUGUACUUCUGGGGUAGGGGUAAAAUCCUGUAAUCCUGGAAGGACGACCGGUGGCGAAGGCGUUCAACCAGAACGAAUCUGACGGUAAGGAACGAAGGCUAGGGUAGCAAACCGGAUUAGAUACCCGGGUAGUCCUAGCUGUAAACAUUGCCCAUUUGAUGUUGCUUUUCCGUUGAGGGAAGGCAGUGUCGGAGCGAAGGUGUUAAAUGGGCCGCUUGGGAAGUAUGGUCGCAAGACUGAAACUUAA
rnacentral:rRNA from 1 species